rnacentral:rRNA from 1 species
ACUUAAAUUGAAGAGUUUGAUCAUGGCUCAGAUUGAACGCUGGCGGCAGGCCUAACACAUGCAAGUCGAGCGGUAGCACAGAGAGCGUGCUCUCGGGUGACGAGCGGCGGACGGGUGAGUAAUGUCUGGGAAACUGCCUGAUGGAGGGGGAUAACUACUGGAAACGGUAGCUAAUACCGCAUAACGUCGCAAGACCAAAGUGGGGGACCUUCGGGCCUCAUGCCAUCAGAUGUGCCCAGAUGGGAUUAGCUAGUAGGUGGGGUAACGGCUCACCUAGGCGACGAUCCCUAGCUGGUCUGAGAGGAUGACCAGCCACACUGGAACUGAGACACGGUCCAGACUCCUACGGGAGGCAGCAGUGGGGAAUAUUGCACAAUGGGCGCAAGCCUGAUGCAGCCAUGCCGCGUGUGUGAAGAAGGCCUUCGGGUUGUAAAGCACUUUCAGCGGGGAGGAAGGCGUUAAGGUUAAUAACCUUGGCGAUUGACGUUACCCGCAGAAGAAGCACCGGCUAACUCCGUGCCAGCAGCCGCGGUAAUACGGAGGGUGCAAGCGUUAAUCGGAAUUACUGGGCGUAAAGCGCACGCAGGCGGUCUGUCAAGUCGGAUGUGAAAUCCCCGGGCUCAACCUGGGAACUGCAUUCGAAACUGGCAGGCUAGAGUCUUGUAGAGGGGGGUAGAAUUCCAGGUGUAGCGGUGAAAUGCGUAGAGAUCUGGAGGAAUACCGGUGGCGAAGGCGGCCCCCUGGACAAAGACUGACGCUCAGGUGCGAAAGCGUGGGGAGCAAACAGGAUUAGAUACCCUGGUAGUCCACGCCGUAAACGAUGUCGAUUUGGAGGUUGUGCCCUUGAGGCGUGGCUUCCGGAGCUAACGCGUUAAAUCGACCGCCUGGGGAGUACGGCCGCAAGGUUAAAACUCAAAUGAAUUGACGGGGGCCCGCACAAGCGGUGGAGCAUGUGGUUUAAUUCGAUGCAACGCGAAGAACCUUACCUGGUCUUGACAUCCACAGAACUUUCCAGAGAUGGAUUGGUGCCUUCGGGAACUGUGAGACAGGUGCUGCAUGGCUGUCGUCAGCUCGUGUUGUGAAAUGUUGGGUUAAGUCCCGCAACGAGCGCAACCCUUAUCCUUUGUUGCCAGCGGUCCGGCCGGGAACUCAAAGGAGACUGCCAGUGAUAAACUGGAGGAAGGUGGGGAUGACGUCAAGUCAUCAUGGCCCUUACGACCAGGGCUACACACGUGCUACAAUGGCAUAUACAAAGAGAAGCGACCUCGCGAGAGCAAGCGGACCUCAUAAAGUAUGUCGUAGUCCGGAUUGGAGUCUGCAACUCGACUCCAUGAAGUCGGAAUCGCUAGUAAUCGUAGAUCAGAAUGCUACGGUGAAUACGUUCCCGGGCCUUGUACACACCGCCCGUCACACCAUGGGAGUGGGUUGCAAAAGAAGUAGGUAGCUUAACCUUCGGGAGGGCGCUUACCACUUUGUGAUUCAUGACUGGGGUGAAGUCGUAACAAGGUAACCGUAGGGGAACCUGCGGUUGGAUCACCUCCUUACCUUAAAGAA